rnacentral:rRNA from 1 species
ACUGCGAGUGAAGCGGGAAAAGCUCAAAUUUAAAAUCUGGUGGUCUUUGGCCAUCCGAGUUGUAAUUUAGAGAAGCGUCUUCCGCGCUGGACCAUGCACAAGUCUCCUGGAAUGGAGCGUCAUAGAGGGUGAGAAUCCCGUCUUUGGCAUGGACCCCAGGGCUUCUGUGAUGCGCUCUCAAAGAGUCGAGUUGUUUGGGAAUGCAGCUCAAAAUGGGUGGUGAACUCCAUCUAAAGCUAAAUAUUGGCGAGAGACCGAUAGCGAACAAGUACCGUGAGGGAAAGAUGAAAAGCACUUUGGAAAGAGAGUGAAACAGUACGUGAAAUUGUUGAAAGGGAAACGCUUGAAGUCAGUCGCGUCGACCGAGACUCAGCCUUGCCUCGGCUUGGUGUACUUCUCGGACCGACGGGUCAGCAUCAAUUUCGAUCCUUGGAUAAUGGCAAGGGAAAGGUGGCACCUUUACAGGUGUGUUAUAGUCCUCUGUCGCAUGCAAGGGUCGGGAUUGAGGAACUCAGCAUGCACCUCAUCGGUGUCGGGGCCUCGGCCUACGUUACGUGCUUAGGAUGCUGGCAUAAUGGCUUUAAACGACCCGUCUUGAAACACGGACCAAGGAGUCUAACAUGCACGCGAGUGUUCGGGUGGAAAACCCGUGCGCGUAAUGAAAGUAAAAGUUGGGACCUCUGUCGUG